rnacentral:rRNA from 1 species
UACGAACUGUGCGAACGUUAUUCGGAAUCACUGGGCUUACAGGGUGCGUAGGCGGCCUUCCAAGUCAGGUGUGAAAUCCCCCGGCUCAACCGGGGAAUGGCGCUUGAAACUGGUUGGCUUGAGUCAGCUAGAGGUACACGGAACUUCCGGUGGAGCGGUGAAAUGUGUUGAUAUCGGAAGGAACACCAGAGGCGAAAGCGGUGUACUGGAGCUGGUCUGACGCUGAGGCACGAAAGCCAGGGGAGCGAAC